rnacentral:rRNA from 1 species
GACGAACGCUGGCGGCGUGCUUAACACAUGCAAGUCGAACGGUAAGGCCCCAGCUUGCUGGGGUACACGAGUGGCGAACGGGUGAGUAACACGUGGGUGACCUGCCCCGCACUUCGGGAUAAGCCUGGGAAACUGGGCCUAAUACCGGAUACGACCGCACCGAGAGGGUGUGGCGGAAAGUCUUUCGGUGUGGGAUGGGCCCGCGGCCUAUCAGCUUGUUGGUGGGGUAAUGGCCUACCAAGGCGGCGACGGGUAGCCGGCCUGAGAGGGUGGACGGCCACAUUGGGACUGAGACACGGCCCAGACUCCUACGGGAGGCAGCGGUGGGGAAUAUUGCACAGUGGGCGGAAGCCUGAUGCAGCGACGCCGCGUGGGGGAUGACGGCCUUCGGGUUGUGAACUCCUUUCACCAUCGACGAAGGUUUUCUGACGGUAGAUGGAGAAGAAGCACCGGCUAACUACGUG